UCGGCCUACGCCUCUACGCCAUGCAACAUCCGUGGAGCUCCGCGCGAGCGCAUCGAGCCCAGAGGCAGCGGCGAGCCUCUGAUGCCUCCUUCCCCAACUGGAGUCGCUGCCGGGCGCGUAGGUCCGCGUAGAGCUUGGCAGCGGUGGGGUGCCUCUAAUGCCUCCUUCCCCAACCGGAACCGUAGCCAGCUGCAGCGGUGGCCAAGGACAUAAGCAGCACGGUCACCUUGUCGGCAGUUCACAUCAUCCCUGGUGCGCGUCGCCCAUCACCCUCCACAUCCUUACCAACCUGAGCAAUGAAUAAGAAUGAAACAAAAGUGGUGUAGUGAUUUUGUUUUUGUUCAUCUACUACAAUUAAUUCCGGUGCUGCUGUUCUUGCAAGAUUGAGCACGUACCUCGGACGAGCUGCAUGAGCAGCGGUAGAAGCACGCGUCGCGUACCGGAGCUGCCCAUGGGUC
rnacentral:lncRNA from 1 species